rnacentral:rRNA from 1 species
UACGGAGGGUGCAAGCGUUAUCCGGAUUCACUGGGUUUAAAGGGUGCGUAGGUGGGUUUGUAAGUCAGUGGUGAAAUCUCCAAGCUUAACUUGGAAACUGCCGUUGAUACUAUAAAUCUUGAAUGUUGUGGAGGUGAGCGGAAUAUGUCAUGUAGCGGUGAAAUGCUUAGAUAUGACAUAGAACACCGAUAGCGAAGGCAGCUUGCUACACAAUUAUUGACACUGAGGCACGAAAGCGUGGGGAUCAAACAGG